rnacentral:rRNA from 1 species
AUACGUAGGGGGCGAGCGUUGUCCGGAAUGAUUGGGCGUAAAGGGCGCGUAGGCGGCCCGGUAAGUCUGGAGUGAAAGUCCUGUUUUUAAGAUGGGAAUUGCUUUGGAUACUGUCGGGCUUGAGUGCAGGAGAGGUAAGUGGAAUUCCCAGUGUAGCGGUGAAAUGCGUAGAGAUUGGGAGGAACACCAGUGGCGAAGGCGACUUACUGGACUGUAACUGACGCUGAGGCGCGAAAGCGUGGGGAGCAAACAGGAUUAGAUACCCUGGUAGUCCACGCUGUAAACGAUGAUUACUAGGUGUGUGGGGACUGACCCCUUCCGUGCCGCAGUUAACACAAUAAGUAUUCCACCUGGGGAGUACGAUCGCAAGAUUGAAACUCAAAUGAAUUGACGGGG